rnacentral:lncRNA from 1 species
GCACCCUCUCUUCAUCCCCCUCAAAUGCUGGGCUGACCUCCAAACACUUGGGAACCCGAGGUGGGAAGUACGUUAUUCGUGAGGAAGGACUGUUAAGUAAGGGACAGAGAGGCCAGGCCUCCUAUCUAGCAAGCCAUGAGACCAGGUGGGCAGAGGGCCUCAGGACACGAGUGGAAGAUUGGGGGAGGGAGAGGGUCAUGUGGACGGGCGGUUGCCUAGAAAACUAGAGGAGCAGAAAAGCGACAGGUGGGCUGGGUACCGCGGGGGUCUGUGGAGGACGGCGGGGUCAGACAGCGGGGUGGGUCUGGAGCGUGGGAUACACCGAGGGAGGACUAGGAGGUCCAAAGCAAAGGGUCGGCGGGGAUGCGGCGCUGCGGGAUCCAGAGUGCGUGGUCGGCGAGAUGUAAGAGCUGGUGAGGUCCCCAGCGUAGAAGUGAGGAUCACUGAAAGACGCUGGGGCUGUGGAAGGCAGCCCCCAGAGGACAAGGUGUACAGAGCACAGGAAACUGACGAAGGCUCAGC